rnacentral:misc_RNA from 1 species
AAAUGACAAAAUUCAAGCUGUCAUUGAAGCAGGUGUUUGUCCACGUCUGGUCGAGCUCCUCAUGCAUCCAUCUCCUUCAGUACUCAUCCCUGCCCUCCGUACAGUAGGAAAUAUUGUUACAGGAGAUGACCUCCAGACUCAGUGCAUUAUUGAACAUGGCGCCCUUGCUUGCCUGCUGAGCUUGUUAUCUCACAGUCACAAAAAGAGCAUCAAGAAAGAGGCCUGUUGGACUAUAUCAAAUAUUACUGCUGGGAACAAGGAACAGAUACAGGCUGUGAUUGAGGCUGGAUUAAUUAGUCCUCUGGUCAAUUUGCUUCAAACUGCAGAGUUUGACAUCAAAAAAGAGGCUGCCUGGGCUAUUUCAAAUGCUACUUCCGGUGGGAGUCAUGAGCAGAUCAAGUUUUUGGUGAGUCAAAACUGCAUAAAGCCUCUGUGUGAUUUGCUUGUGUGCCCUGACCCAAGGAUUGUCACGGUCUGUCUAGAAGGAUUAGAAAACAUAUUGAAGGUUGGGGAAGCAGAAAAAGCCAACACUGAAGGCAUUAAUUACUAUGCUCAGCUGAUUGAUGAUGCUGAGGGAUUGGAAAAGAUUGAAAACCUUCAGAGUCAUGAUAACAAUGAAAUAUAUGAGAAGGCUGUUAAAAUACUGGAGACAUACUGGUUGGAGGAGGAGGAUGAAACAGUGCCGGCUGGUGAUGGGGCACAAAAUGAGUUCAAUUUUGGUGGAAAUGAUAUUCAACUUCCAUCUGGUGGUUUCAAGUUUGGUUGAAAGUACUACUACACUCAUCCUCCAAUUAUCUCCCUUAGCAGGUGGUCAGGCUGUGUAUGGUGGAUGAGAAGUGCAGUUUGAAAGAUGACAUGUUGGUAGUGGUGUCAUGUCAAGUCGAGUCAGUUCACCUCCCCGAGUCUGGUCAGUCCGGGUCAAGAGUCAGUCGUGGUUGAGGAGGUGUGCCGAAAAGGGACGGUCGUAAAUAAGACUGCGUGAAAAGGUAAAAGCAGUGGGCAUGUUGGGAAUUUGAUAAACGCUUCCCGUGCAUGCUUGUAUUGUUUGGUGAAAAGUAUGAAAGUUAUUAUUAUCAGUGAAUUAGCAUCUCAGAGUGUGGAGUCCUUUUUCCAGUCAAGCACAUGAGAUGUAUCUGCAGUAGUCUGUCUGGAAAGAGUCGUCUAGAUUUUAUAUUGAGUUGGCGAGUGAAUGUGUAUACUUUAUGAGUCAUUUCUUAUUAAAUACUGCUAUUGAACAAGUUUCAGCAAAUUUUGAU